rnacentral:ncRNA from 1 species
AAAAAGUAAAAGAAACUCGGCAAAUCUUACUCUGCCUGUUUACCAAAAACAUCACCNNNNNNNNNNUUUAUACUGCUAAUCCAACACAGGUAUUCUCGAAGGAAAGUUUACAAAAAGUAAAAGAAACUCGGCAAAUCUUACUCUGCCUGUUUACCAAAAACAUCACCGCUAGCAUUACCAGUAUUAGAGGCACUACCUGCCCAGUGAUAUAUGUUCAACAGCCGUGGUAUCCUGACUGUGCAAAGGUAGCAUAAUCACUUGUUUCCUAAAUAGGAACUUGUAUAAAUGGCCACACAAAGCUUCAGCUGUCUCUUACUUUUA